UGACAACCUAAAAAUUUUGAUUGGAAAAUGCAUAUAAGAUAAGGGGGUGGAAAAAUGGAAAUUAGUGGCUUUUUUUUGCAGUUCUGUCUGUUAGUUUUGCGUUUUGCUCUGGCUGGGUCUCUUUUGUUUAAACAAUUAUAAUCAGCUGAAAGUGGUCUACAAAAAACCAGGAAGGAAACGUAUUAUAGCCUUGUUGUGGCUAUGAAAGGCAAAAGAAAGAUACCUAUAAAAAGUGUAUUGACUAGUUGGAAGAAACUCCACAUUGUCGAUGCAUAAUAAGAUAUUACUUUAUAAACAAAUAUCAAGACCUAGGAAUGGAACCUGGAUAAUAUAGUCAUCAAGAAGAUAGCAGGAAGUCAUGAGCAACAACAACUUCAUAAGUAUGAGAAUAUUGAGGAAAUCCAGCUCCUCAUAUCUACUACUGGACAAACUAGAAGAUUGAAGAGGACAAAGCCUUUUGAACUAGUUUGAGUGAUAGGUGAUAGUGAAAAGCAGAGCGUAGUGCUUGUGUGCCUGUGUAUGUUAGAAUAGUGCACGAUCUUGUUAGAUUAGAUAAGAGACGCUAUGGGGUAAGCUCUUCAUUUUAAGGAACAGUAGUAAUUUAGGUUAAAUUAAAAUUGCUCAUUGGUCAGUUAUGACCAGACUGUAAUUCUCUGAUGUUUGGCAAAAAGGGCUUAAGUCAGAAUUGCACAUCAAUAAUGUUUUGAUGAUUUCUGGACCAUAAAAAAAGUGUUGCAGACUUAAACUGUAUGUACCAAUAAAAAGAGCCGAUUUUUCUGGUCCAGAAAUCAUCAAAACAUUAUCGAUGUGCAAUUCUGACUUAAGCCCUUUUUCCCAAACAUCAGAGAAUUGCAAUGUACAAUUCAAUACAAAUGAAUCAUCAUCGUAGUGAUGAUUAUGGAAAAAAAUAUAUGACAAGAUUUUGUGCAAUAAAAAUGUUUAUAUUUA
rnacentral:lncRNA from 1 species